GAUGAACGCUGGCGGCGUGCCUAAUACAUGCAAGUCGAGCGAACGGACGAGAAGCUUGCUUUUCUGAUGUUAGCGGCGGACGGGUGAGUAACACGUGGAUAACCUACCUAUAAGACUGGGAUAACUUCGGGAAACCGGAGCUAAUACCGGAUAAUAUUUUGAACCGCAUGGUUCAAAAGUGAAAGACGGUCUUGCUGUCACUUAUAGAUGGAUCCGCGCUGCAUUGGCUAGUUGGUAAGGUAACGGCUUACCAAGGCAACGAUGCAUAGCCGACCUGAGAGGGUGAUCGGCCACACUGGAACUGAGACACGGUCCAGACUCCUACGGGAGGCAGCAGUAGGGAAUCUUCCGCAAUGGGCGAAAGCCUGACGGAGCAACGCCGCGUGAGUGAUGAAGGUCUUCGGAUCGUAAAACUCUGUUAUUAGGGAAGAACAUAUGUGUAAGUAGCUGUGCACAUCUUGACGGUACCUAAUCAGAAAGCCACGGCUAACUACGUG
rnacentral:rRNA from 1 species